CCAUUUCAAAAUGCAUAAUGCACUUCAACAAAUCCACAUCAAACAAGAAUAAUUACUAGUUCACAAGUUUAAAAUGUCGACAAUAUGAUAAAGAAGCUAAACUAUUUGAAUCUAAUUACUAGUGUCAGCUUUUGAUAACUUGUGUUAUCAAAUGGCUAUAAACUAGAAAAUAAGCGGCACGAAAUUCGUCUGCCCUUGAUCAUAAUGAAGGUUUCCAUAUGCCAAAUUCCUGAAUAUUUAAAAUGUAUGACCUGAAAUGAUAAAAUAAAAUGAAUAUCAAACAUUCAACCAUAUGUGAAAUUCUUCAACAGCCAAGAAAAUAAUUAUGCGACAUUUACAUGUUCAUAAUGGCAUAUCUUUUACCUCUUCCUUUGAUCUUUCAAUUUUCAUUAUCAACUGCCAAACUCUCAAAAAGAAACAUUUUUUGGCAUGCUUAUAUAUUCUCAAAAGUUAAGAAGAGAAAGGCUUCUCUAUAGUUGGUAAAAUUAGCAGAAUAGACAACUGUUGAAAUAGACAGUAAGAAACAAAAAGAAAAGUUAGAAUUAUCACAUAUUUUCUCUUGUUUGGUUGGUGAGUGAAAACCUUUUUACUGAAAAUAUUUUCUAUGAGCAUUUUGUAUCAUUGGAACUUUGUAUGGGUGCCAAUAAUGGUCCAGUAGGUAUCAUAAUGGGAAUAAGAAAUACUAUGAGCAUUUUGUAUUAUUGGAACUUUGUUACCAUAUAGGUUUGUUAAAUCAAAUAAGACAACUUAAACUUCUUAGCAUGAACUGAUCAUAAUCUACAGGACAAUGUAUAUUUCUGAGGCCUUAUCAAUGAAAUAUUUCAAAGCGCCAUACCAUCAAGAUUUCUUUGAACCCUACUUCGUAUGCGAAAUAUGAACUAAAGAUAUUAAAUUAGUUCAUUGAACUUUGUGAUUUCAAGAGCACUUACAGAAUAAAAGAGGGACAAUCAUGGCAAUCUUCCGCAAUUCCUCGUCAGCUUGCAUAAUCUUUUUAAUCUGAGCCUGCAAAUAAAUAGGAAAUGAGGUAUUAGUAUGGUUAUAUUCAGAUCAAAGAAAAAUUUAAAUUUUAGAAACAAGAUCUGAUGUGACCUGAAAGCAAUUUGGUCCAGUUAAACACAUUAAAUUGAAAAAGGAGAACAAUUAAUAUUCAAAUAGCACCAACGUAAUAGUUGUCAAAAUAUUUCUCAAAAAAACAAAUUCUGGUACAAUAAAGUUUGAACCUCGAGAAACUAAACAAACAGGAAAUUCACAUAAAAACCUCAAACACUUUACCCUUUUAUGGAACGUUCAUUUCCCACAUAAACGUGGCUUGAACAAGUCACAUACCUCAAGUACUCUACCCUCUCCUAUCCUAUAGACUCAUGAUAUAUUUGAUCUUUACCUAAUACACUCUAGAGUUUUCUUUGAAGUACUAAACAGUUAAGUGCUCAGUGACUAUAUAGUUCAAACGGCAGUAAAAAAUGUUGAAUUACUUGUUAAAAAUACAUAGCUUAUUGCAAAGUAUUUUUUUGGUCUCAAGAGUCUCCUAUAAACUCAUGAUGUAUCAAUCUUUCCAAAGUACACUAGAGACUCUAUAGUGUUUUUCUUUUGAAGCACUAAAAAGAAGUGCUUAGUAGCAGUAAAAUUCGAGCGGCAGUAAGUAGUCAACAAGACCUACCUUAAGUGUCUCAACAAACUACUCUACAAAUUGCAUCAAAUAUUUUAGUAGUCUUCCUUACAAGGUGAUAUCAAAGAAUUGUUCGAGCUUAAUAAGGAAUUAACUUGAUGAGUAUCAUGACAUCAAACUAAAAAACAGUGUUGAAUCUUCAGUUGCUCUAAUUCUAUUUCAUUGUAGAAAAUAUCAAAUUGCAACAUCUUUUUGUUAGUUCUUCCAUAUGUGAAAUGGAGUAUGAAAUACAGAUUAUUCCACAAAAUAAAGAUUAAAAAAAACAAAAAGAAAGAUAGUUACUUAGAUAGUGAGCAUACAACUUUUGAGAGUAAAUAUGAGUAAAUUUUGGUGAGGCAAAGGUCGAGCACCUAGAAGGCAAUUAUUAACCAGAGGGCAAAUUUUGGUGAGGCAAAAGGUCGAGCACCUAGAAGGCAGUUAUUAACCAAAACUUAAAAUACUCUGAAGUGAUCUAUGUUUAAUGAUUUCAUCUAGCUACUUGAGCACACCACAACUUAAAAAAAACAACAAUUUAACAUGCAAGUGGAAAGCGAACUUCGCCUAUCACAGACAUUCAUCCACAAAUCUGACGCUCCUAGAAAGUAAAUCAAAGGGAAAAAAAUCAUUAAACACAUUAUCUUAGAAGAUUUGCAAUUUGGGAUUAAAAACUUACAGGAAACGCAAAAAUAGAAACACCUAACCAAAAUUUUGAAAGACUCAAUAGCUGCAUCCGGAUCUAUCAUCAGCAACAUUUACUUAGAUCGCUUUCCCAUCCAAACUCUGCAAGAUUUCAUAUAUAUAUAUAUAUUUAUAUAUGUACGUGGGAGAGAUAUAUCAUUUGUGUUAUGGGAUUGGUUGCCACCGGUGAGACGGAGAAGGCAUAAAGCAUCCGUGAUAGGGUAGUGGUGAUGAGAAAUGUUUGCUAUUUUAAAAAUAAUUUCUAAAGUUUUAGGAACUUAGAUCUACAGAAUAGAGGGAAUAAGUUUUUUAGCGAAAAGUUAUUUGGAGGGAAAAGAUAAAAUAAUACGUAGCAAAAAUUUCUUUGAAUUAGUGAGUUUCAGUGGCUAUUUCCUUUUAUUGCCAGUAAAAGGGUACUUAAUACCGGCCAAUGCUCAUCUGCCGCUAACAUUUGAGUUUAUGAAAUCAUUUAGUGGCCUUUGUUUUAUUGCCGCUUAUAGAUUUCCACAAAAACACCUUUUUUCUUAUAGUGGAACCACUUUGCACAACGCAGUCUAAACAUAAGAGUUAUGCCAAACAGAAGGUUCGCGUUAUUGCUUAUAUGGUAGGAGAGAAGGUACUACUCCAAGUUUCGCCUAUGAAGGAUGUUAUGAGAUUUGGGAAGAAGGGCAAGUUGAGUCCUAGGUAUAUUGGACCUUUUGAAAUACUUAAGAAGAUUGGAGAGGUGGCUUAUGAACUUGCAUUGCCGCCUAAUAUAUCGGUGUUCAUCCGGUGUUUCAUGUAUCUAUACUCCGAAAAUAUGUCGGAGAUCCGUCUCAUGUUUUGGAUUUCAAUAUAGUGCAGUUAGAUGGUAAUUUGACUUAUGAUGUGGAGCCGGUGGCCAUUUUGGACCGGCAGGUUCGAAAGUUGAGAUCAAAGAACAUAGCUUCAGUGAAAGUGCAGUGGAGAAACCAGUCAGAUAGAGAAGCUACCUGGAAGAUUGAGCGGGAAAUUCGGAGCAGAUAUCCACACCUAUUUGAGGCUCCAUGUAUGAUUCUAAACUCAUUCAAGGACAAAUAUUUGUUUAAGAUGGGGAGAAUGUAACGACCCGGCCGGUCGUUUUGAGUAUUACAAUCCCGUUCCUCCAUUUACUGCUCAAUUUGUGCUUUACAGUGGUUAUAUGACUUGUCGGGGUAAUUGGUUCGGGUCCGGUAAGGUCUUAGAAUGAAUGGGAACACUUAGUUCCAAAGUUUAAAACUUAAGUUGAAAAAGUUGGCUGGAUGUCGACCUAUGUGUAAACGACCCUGAAAUAAAAUUUUGAUGAUUUCAAUAGCUCCGAAUGGUGAUUUUGGACUUAGGAGCGUGUCCGAAAAAUUAUUUGGAAGUCCGUAGCUAAAUUAGGUUUGAAAUGGCUAAAAUAGAAAUUUAAGUUUAGAAGUUUGACCAGGGAGUUGAGUUUUUGAUAUCGGGGUCAGUAUCUAAUUCUGAAAACUGAAAUAGGUCUGUUAUGUCAUUUAUGAGCUGUGUGCAAAAUUUGAGAUCAAUCGGACUUGAUUUGAUAGGUUUCGGCAUCGAAUGUAGAAGUUAAAAUUUCUUAGUUUCAUUAAGCUUGAAUUGGGGUAUGAUUCGUGGUUUUAGUGUUGUUUGAUGUGAUUUGAGGAUUCGACUAAGUUCGUAUGAUGUUUCAGAACUUGGUGGUGUAUUUAAUUGAGGUCCUGGGAGCCUCGGGUGAGUUUUGGAUGGUUAACGGAUUAAAUUUUGGACUUGAAAGAAAUCUGAAAAUUUUUGCCUUCUUAUGCAGUCGCACCUAUGAAAUUUGGCUCGUCGGUGCGAGCUCGGACGAAAGCUGUUCCGAAUACCACCAUUAUUUAAAAAAGAAAAAACCCUGUAUACAAGUACAAAAUUCUAUAAAACAUAUGAUUUGUAUAUAUAGGAACUUCAUAGUGGCACAAAAAAGAAGGAUAAGAGGUUAUUUUUGAAAUUUAUAAAAUUAUUCUCUACACCUCCAAAAGCUCUCUUAUUUCUCUCUAUAAGACUCACAUAAGUACCAGUGGAGCAACAUCACAUGCCUAACUAAACGUGCUUCCUUCAAUGUCUCGCAUCACCUAUGGUAGUCAAAACCAUCUUAGAAUUUCCUACCAUAAACGAGAUGCUAGAUGAAGGUUGGCUAGAAACAUAUGUUUUUGGCUGCAUUUCGCAUUUUAUUUCUUAUGCUUUAAUCGUGUUUGAUCUAUAAUCUGAGUACUAUAUACUUAUCAUGUGUGUUUGGUUGUGUAGGCUUGAUUCCGAGCAGAGGAACUAAUUUGGAGCUAAAGGGGCUUCGAAGUCAGAGUAAAAGUCUAAGAAUUUUAACUGGGAUCAAGUUCGGGGGUGAGAACCAAGUGUGCAUGAGAAAAAUUGAAGAAAAAUGUUGAAAGCUUAGAAAUGACCUAUCAUGGCGCGCUGCACCUAGCGAGGUGCCAAGCCUGAUCAGUCCAAACAUGCAAAAAUAAAUAAAUAAAAAAAAUAAAAAAAACUAUCCUCCUAGCACAUCACGCCAUGCUUCGUGCCUUGCGGCGUGCCAGGCUAUUCUCCCGGGCAAUGAAGUCAGUUUCGGCUCAUUAGAGGUAUUUUGGUUCAAGGUAGUUUCUACACAGUAUAAACAUGAAAAACAUAAUUUUGAAUGGAACUUUUGACCUACUAAAGAUUGAGAAGAUGGCUAGAGCUCAAGGACACAUGAAUUAAAUAUAUUUUUCAUCAACAAUCAAUUAAAAAUGCGCAUUUGAAUUCAGAAGUUAGUUGUAAUAUUUUUUAGUUCUUAUUUCUUAAUUACGAUGUGCUUCUCCUCAUUUAUGGAGUAGUUUCCUAUUAGGUUUUUGACGGACAUGGUGUAUUGAUCGUUAUUUGUGGAUUUGGUUCUUGUUUGAAUGCUUGAAUUUGUUGAUGGGUUUCUAAACGGAAUUGUGAAGUUAUUCAUUAUUCUAUUUUAAUCAAAAGAGAAAUGGCAUAGUUUCACGAAUAUCUUUACAUCAUAUGGUUUAGUUUUCUUUAGUGAUUCUUUUAAGUAACCGUAAGACCUUUUGAGUUACUGAAUUGAGCUAAGGCAAGGAAAACAUCCGCAAGAAAUUUUCCUUGAGACUAAUACUGUCAACGGUUUCUAGUUAUUAUAAUAUUAGGAUUAUCCCUGAAUUAUUUAGUAAGUGCUUUGUUUGGUUCAUUAUUUAGAAAUGGAAUAUCUGGAGUACAAUCCAAAACAUGUGUUGGGUCUGAAGCUGGAUAAACCUGGAUAAAUUUAUUUUAAUUUAACCUUAGAUAGUUCAACGAUGACAAUGAAAAGAGCUCCUGAAGGGUAAUAUAGUCAUUUUGAUAACUUUACCCAGGUAAAGCUAAUCCUCGUAUUAUUAUCCUACGUCCAUAAUGGGAUAAAUAAUACCAAGAUUUUGGUAUAAAUUGAUACUUGUAUUAGCUAAUAAGGGUAACCAAACACUGGAUAAACAUAAUCAUUAACAAAAUACUGUAUAGACAUAAUCUUUAACUAAACAAAGGAUAAACAUAAUCAUAAAUUUUAUUCCAGAAUUAGAAUCCUAAUCCCAGGAAUCAAACGGUCCUUAAAUGUAUUAAGAAUGAGAAAAAACCUCAAUAUUAACAAUAACCUUUCGAGUCAAAUUUGUGUGGUUUGAAAUUAUUUUCCCACGAAAGUAACACUACUACAGGAAACUAUGGAUAAUGUGGUGAUUGUACUAGGGCAGAAAUCAUAUAAGAGUACAUUAUUAGAAAAAAGAGCUCCUAAACGACUAAAUGUGAUGCUACUUUAGUACAAACAUCCAGUUGUUAAGGAAAGGGGGAUAUUAUAGGUUUCAGGAGGAGACCGGGGAGCUGUCUGACGUUUGCAGCUCUGAAAGUAGUUUCAAGCAAGACGAUCUUCAACUCUAGAAUAUGGUGAUGAUCUAUGAGCAUUGGGAUGGGAAUCUGCAUUUUUAAAAGAAGCUAAAUCUCCAUUCUGACUACUGAGUACUAGGUCCCUCAAUGAUUGGAUAUGAAAGAAUGAACAUGUAAAACUGCUAAAAAGUAUUUUCUGGAAAACUCUAAUUCAUCUCAAUACCGUUACACGAAACACGCAUGGGAAUUACAGAGUAAACCAACAAUCAAUAACCUUGCAUCUUGGUAAAAGGAUGAAGCUUACAUUUACAAAACUCAGUCAGGGAACCUGGUUCCUUUGACUCAGGUUAGUAGCUCCUUUAACACUCAUGCACACUUUAAAGGCAUCGCGGAAGCGGAAAGUCUGCAUUGGCGGACAGAAUCUCGCAGAAGCGACACCAAGGUCGCAGAUGCGGAGGCAAGGGAGGCUGGGCAAAAUCGUAGAAGCGGACGCUUCUUCGCAGAAGCUAGUCCGCAUAAGUGGGGGCAGUCGCAGAAGCGGUUGGUUUCUCACACCUGCGAGACCGCAGAAGCGGCUAAGUGAGUCGCAGGUGCGGAACCCCUGGACAAUAUACAUUUCGAAGGGGUUCCGAGUUUUGCCAUUUUUGGACCUUCAAGCACGGUUUUUGGGGCAAUUUUCAGAGAGAAUUCACGGAAAACUUGAGGUAAGUCACUUCUGAUCAUCUCUACUCUAUAAUAUUGAAUUAUCAUCGAACAAUCCGACUAGAUUACGUGUUUUAGAGGUGUAAAUCGGGAAUUUGGACCUAGGGUUUUGGAAAUAAGAUUUGAUAAUUUGGAGGUCGAGUUGAUGUCGGAAUUUGGUAAAAUUUGUAUGGUUAGACUCGUGGUUGAACGGGCGUUCAUAUUUUAUUACUUUUGUCGGGUUCUGAGACGUGGACUCCACUAGCGAGUUUUGAGUUAAAUUUCAGAUUUUGUUGGAUAAUUAGUAUUUUUAUAUGGAAUUAAUUCCUGUCAUUUGUAUUGACUGAAAUGAAUUAAUUGUGACAAGAUUCGAGACGUUCAGAGGCCAAUUCGCGAGUCAACGGCAGAGCGGAAUAAAGAAUUACACUGUUUGAGGUAAGUAACACUUUUAAACUUGGUUCUGAGGAUAUAAAUCCCUGAAUUAUGUGUUAUGUGAAUUGUAUGAAGGUGACGCUCAUGGUAGGUGACGGGCGUGUGGGCGUGCACCUUAGAAAUUAUGACUUAAAUAAAUACUUAAUCAUAUUUAUAAAUGUGAGGAUAUUUAUGGGAUCGGGGUUGCUUGCCUGCAGCAGGCCAUGUCGGCUUUAUAUAUAUAUAUAUAUUAUUAUUAUAUGGAACAGGACUGCCCGCAUGCAUCAAGCCUUAUAGGAUUUAUCAUUAUAUGGAUCGGGGCUGCCCGCCUGCAGCAGGCCAUAUCGGCUUUAUAUCAUGCUUGGGCUGAAGGAGCCCCUGCGGAGUAUGCACCCCCCACAGUGAGCGUAGAUGAUUUAUAUAUACGGGAUGGACUUCCCAGGGCAUGGACUUGCCUUACUUAUUUAUAAGUGUGAUAAAUCUCCAUGGACAUGGAUCUUGUCCGAAACAUUUACAUUUGGGGAUAAAUUACCCCAAGACUGGAUUGACCUUAUAUGGUACUGAGUGACUGACAGUCAGUCAAUGGAUAUAUAUAUAUAUAUAUAUAUACGGGAUGGAAUAUCCCUGGGCUGGAUUGGCCAUAAACAGUACCAAGUGACCAAGCGAUUAGUGAUCAGAAGUACACGAGGUUUUCCACUGAGAUGUCAUAUCCCUUAUAUCAUGCAGUAUUGAUCUAUCUUACUUGUACUGAGUUUAACUGUUGAACUUGAAAGUAUGCCUACACUUUUGUACUGUUAUUUAUAUAUUGGACUGUACCUGCGGAGCUCGUCACUACUUUCAGCCCAGAGUUUAGUCUUGUUACUUAUUGAGUUGGUUGUACUCAUACUACACUAUGCACCUCGUGUGCAAAUCCAGGUACUUCCGGAUACGGUGACUGUUAGACCUCAUUGUGUUACCAGUUGGAGACUAUCAAGGUAACUGCUUGGCAUCCGCUGACCUUGUCUCUCUCUUCCUUUAAGUUAUUGUACUGUUCUAUAUUUUCGGAUAAUAUUUUUAUCAGUCAGACUUUGUAUUCAUUUAGAUGCUCAUGUACAUCAGUGACACCGGAUUUUGGGACUGUUUUGUAUCUAUAAUUGUGAAUUUUUCUAUUGAAUUCAAAUAUUAUGUUUUCAAAAUUGAAAGAAAUUGUGGUUUAUUGAGGUUGUCGGCUUGCCUAGUAAUGAGAUAGGCACCAUCACGACAUGUUAGUAUUUUGGGUCGUGACAGCAUGGGUCGCAGGUGCGCACACAGGACCGUAGAAGCGGACUCGCACCUACGACGAGUUAAUCGCAGAAGCGAAAGUGAGAGGGGAGGGGCCUCUUCGCAGAAGCGGCUUGGGCAACCGCAAAUACGAGGCCGCAAAAGCGGACCUCUUGUCCACAGAAGUGAAAGAAGAUGCAGAAGCAGGGAGGGCCUCGCAUCUACGAGACCACAGCGGAAACGCUGGGCAGGCUACAAAAAACAAAAGGGUCCGACAUUUUUGUCAUUUGGACCUUUCAAACACGGGUUGAGGUUGUUUUGAGCGAGAAUUCACGGGAAAUCUUGAGAUAAGCCACUUAUGAUCAUUGUUAGUCAAUAAUAUAGAAUUAUCAACGAGUAUUUAGACUAGGUUAUGUAUUUUUGAGGUGAAAUUCGGGGAUUUGGGCCUAGGGAUUAGAACAUAAGAUUUGAGGAUUUGAAGGUCGAGUUGAUGUCAGAAUUUGAUAAAUUUGUAUGGUUGGACUCGUGGUUAUAUGGGCGUUCGCAUUUUGUAACUUUUUUUGGGUUUCGAGACGUGGGCCCCACUGUAGAUUUUUUAAUUGAAUUUCAGAUUUUAAUUAAAAAUUUUAGUAUUUUCAUAUAGAAUUAGUUUCUAUAAUUCGUGUUGAGUAUAUUGAAUUGUUUGUGAUUAGAUUCGAGGCAUUCAGACACCAAUUCGUGAGGCAAAGGUUUAUUAGAAUCUUGAGUUGGUUGCAAAGCGAGGUAAGUAUCAUGGUUAACCUUAACUUGAGGGAGUAGGACUUAUUUGUCUAUUUGCUACAUGAUUUAAUGUGCGGGUACAACGUAUGUGUGAGGUGACGAGUACUUAUGCGUUGUGGUUGAGUCAAAGCAUGCGGGUGAAAUUUGUUCAUUGUGAAUAAUUACCUAUUUAAUUAAGAUAUUCAUGCUUAAGUUUAUUAUUGUUUAUUUGACCACUUUCGUGAAAUUAUUGCUAAUUUAAUUAUUGUUGAAUAUUUUGGAAGGUGAGGUCGGUAUUCUGGUAGGGAAUUGAUUGAUAAAUAUGGAUCCCCGCAUUUAAAAUACUCUUCCGAAUUUAUAUUACCAUUCCAUUGUAAGGAAGAGUGUAAAAGUACGAAGGGUGAUGUCGUGACAUUUAUAUUAUUUAUAUUAAUAUUGUCAUGGUAAGGAAGAGUGUAAAAGCACGAAGGGUCAUGCCGUGCCAUUUUCACAUCAUUAUUUAUUGAUUUAUAAAGUUAGAAAGAGAGUUAAAGCACGAAGGGUGAUUCCGUGCCAUUUAAAUUAUUUAAUCUUCAUACUGUGACAAGAAAGUGAGUUAAAUCACAAAGGGUGAUGUCGUGCCAUUCAUAUUAUUUAUUCAUCAUUUCAUUGUAAGGAUGAGAGUAAAAGCACAAAAGGUGGUGCCAUACCAUUUUCAUAUUAUCAGCUAUUUAUAAUAUUGUUGAUGAAUUAAUUGGUUGCUACGUGGCACUUCUCCUGCUGAAAUUUUCAUAUCAUUCCCCUUCGCAUGUUCCCUCCCAAAUUGGUAAGAUUUAUUAAUUAUUGUGUUCAUUGUUGCUUCGUAUUUGUAUAUACUUGUACAGGUUAUUUACGUAAGUGUCUUGUCAUAGCCUCGUCACUACUUUGUCGAGGUUAGGCUCGAUACUUACGGAGUACAUGGGGUCGGUUGUACUCAUACUACAAUCUGUACUUCUUGUACAGAGUUUGGAGUUGGUCCUAGCGACGUACCAUAGACUUGCUAGGAUUCAGCUACCCAGAGGAGACUUGAGGUAUAACUGCACAACGUCCGCAGUUCUGAAGUCCCUUUCUACUUUAUCUUAACUGUGUAUUACCUUUCAAACAUCUUGAAUUUUUAUCCAGAUCUUUAUUUGUAUUAUUCUAGUAGCUCGUACACUUGUGACACCAGAUUCGGGGAUGUAUUUUGGAUGAUUCGGUUGUUAUGGUAUUCCGCACUUUAUUUCAGUAAUUGACUUCCGUUUAAAUUGAUUUGUUUAAAAAUGGUUAAGAUUAUUCUAACGUUGUCUUGCCUAGCAAGUGAAAUGUUAGGUGCCAUCACGGUCCCGAAGGUGAAAAAAUCGGGUCGUGAUAAGCAUGAUCUUUAACUAUGAGGAUAGUAAUAUACCUAGUCAUUGUGCUUAAUUAAAUAUCGUAAUCUUAAUGCGUUCUUAAUAGAUUGAUUCCAUAGGAAUAUAGGCGUUAAUCUAUUUUGAAUAGGCGAGUAGGAAUUCGGGAGAAUACUACGAGAGUAAUUGUUCGAUUAAUUAGCAACCAUGAGUGAAUUAUAUGAAAGGUUGAGUUAAUUAGAACAUAAUAAGAUUGGUAAAUCGAUCACAACUAUGGAAUAUUUGUCUCUACUGAAUACACAACAACUACUUUGCCGCUUAAUAAAUUAGUUACUUGUUAGAAUUAUUGCAUAGUAUAUUUACACUUUUGAAUUCUGAAUUACUUGACUGAAUAAUAAUCUUGGUAAAACUAGUGGGUAGUUACACAAGUCUCUGUGGGUUCGACACUCGACUUAUCAUUUUAUUACUUAUAUGACCAUGUAUACUUGUGUGUGCGUUUGGGAGCAACAGUAAGUCUAUGAUUAAUGAUUAGAGGGUGGUAAGUUAGGACUUAUUUGGGUCAUUUAUAUAAGAUUCUCUUUAGGUAUUAUCAAUGGAGUAUAAUUUUGUAAAACUUCUUUUCUUUGAGGCAAUUGUUAUAGAAAAACUCUAGUUUUAUACUAAAAGUACAAAAUAUUGUUUUUAAAUAUCUAUGAACCUAUUAUUUUUAAAAAUGGGGCCUCCCAAAUUUGAAGGCCUAAGGCACUAACCUUACUUGUGAUAAGGUUAGAGUCGACCCUGAACAUGAGCCUCUACUGGUCAUGCCUAGAAAAUGGGGUGAAACAUGAUGACUCAACUUACCUUCCUCGUUGAACAAGCCCUAUUAUAACUAACUAAAAUUCUAAACAGACCAUCAUACCCAAGAAAUUCAUUACAAAAGAGUCUCAAGGUAAAUAUCGCUUGAAAACUUAAAUACUAAAAAUAAACAUUAACAUGUUUGACAACUAAAUCGGCCAACAAGUCAUGAGCCUCUAGUGAAAGUUUGAGUACAUAAAUCUUCGGGACGUUCUCUAGAAUGAUAUAAAAGUCAAAUGACAACUAAAGAUCAAAAAAGGGAACCAACAUCACUAGAAAGAGUCAACGGCUGCUUCAAGCCAUGUGCCUCGUCACCUACAAACUCAACGUCUACCACGUCUCAAGCCAUGUACCUCGUCACCUACAAACUCAACGUCUGUCACACAACGUGGCAGAUCCAAAUGAGCUAAGUACUUUCAAAAGAAUAUUCAAAAAGUCUCAUUGAUAACCCCUUAAGCGGAUAACAAGACUAUCGUGGGCUAUAUAUAAUUAUAAUAAAAUACAACAAGUAGGGAAGGUAAUUCACAAAAUACACAUUAAAUAAUCUGUAAACUGAAAUUGAUUCUGAAUACAGAAUUUAAACUGAUAACUAAAAAUUAAAAAUUUAAUACUAAAGCUGAUCGGAUAAUCAAGGGCGUAUCUAGGGGGUUCCAUGGGGCACGUGAAUCCAUGCUCCCCGCCCUAAAUAUCAUGUAUAAUAAUAUUAUAUUUUUUUAAAAAUAUUUAAAUAUAUGUGUGUGCACCCAUGCUCAAAGUAUUAUAUGAUGUGAUGGUUAUUGAGUGUACCUCUCUAGGUGAGGUUGUGAGUUCAAAUCUUAUGUCAAUCUUGUUAUUUUUUCCUCUCUUUUUUUCUAAAAGUAGACGCCCACGGGAGAUGGUUGUGUCUGGUAUUAUUUUUUGCGUAUUAAUUAAGUACUUUUUCUUUUUAAAUUUUUUGUUUAGUUUAUUCUUUUAAAAUUUUCACACACUGAAAUUCCUUUUCUUCUUUUGUCGUUGUAAAAUCUUAUAUGAUUAAACAAAAUAUGUAUAUUAAAACUAGUAGCAGUGUAAGAUGUAGCAUAUAGUCAAUGGGUUCAACUGAUCUCAAUAUUUUCAACAUGAAAAAUAGAUAUAGAUGUAAGAAAAUUACUAUUUAUAAAAAAAUUGAACUUAUAAUUCCAAAAGUGCAAUGGGUUCGCAAUCGUAAGAACUAAAGGUUGAACCCGUAAAAUUUAUAUUCUGGAUCCACCUCUUCUUAAUAGUGCACCCAUCCUGCCAAAACCCUGGAUCCGCCUCUGCGGAUAAUGAAACUAAAGUUGAGAGCUGAGUCUAAAACUGAUAUCUAAACUGACACUGAAAACUAAGUUAUAUUUUUAAAGAGUUACUCUUAAAAAAAAAUGAUUUACAUGAAUUGGACCUAGGAUGACAUACAGGGCCUACGAAAACGAUUGUGGGGCGCUCUAAUUGUGUUCACUCAAGCUCAAUCCAUAAUGGGACCAUCGAGUACGCCCAAUCAAGAUCUCAACCUAUCUGAAUGUGUUAGCACUUGCAAGUAUGGGGUAGUUAGCCCUGGCCACCGCGACACUCAUACUCAUGGAGGUUAGCUACUUCUCCCUUUUCGGAUAUGAUCUCAUUAAUUUAAAACUACAAAAGAAAAGUCUAAGUAGUACAAGUAAUUUCACAUAAGCAAGUGAUUGCAACAUCUCCUAUAAUUUUGUCAUUUUCUAUCAGAAGAGUUCACAAUCAUAUGUAGCUUAUUCUGAAAAGUAAUGCAAACAAUAAUAUGCACAUUCUAAUGUAGCUCUUAACUUAGGAAAGAAACCUCAACUUACCUUAAAUAUUCUUCUUUUCUGGCAGGGUUAGUCUCCCCAUGCAUUUACCACAAUUAAUCACCACAAUCUACACCAAAUAACUCAAUUAAAGUUCAUUCUAUCCCCAUGAAUUCAAUUUUCCUCAAUUCAAACUUUGGCUAAAAAGCCCUAAUCCCAAAACUUCGAUUUCAAGAUUUUGAAUAAAGUUUUACUCUUUUGGUGUUUCUAGUUUGUACAUGUCGUUCAUAAUCUUAGACCCAUAAAAGGAUUCAAAAAUACGAUGAGAGGUUACCUUAACUCAAAACCCUAGAUUUCUUGUUGUUUAGUGUUCUUGAACAUUUUGUAUGAACUUCCUACUAAUUCAACCUAUAAUAGCAUGAACUUCAACUUUAGUGGUGAGAAUUCAACUUAAUUUAGGUAGGAAUUGGUGUAAAGAUCUUACCUUGAGCAUUUCUCACAAGUACUAGGUGCACUAGGUUAAAGAAGAAAUCUUAUUCUUGGGUUCUUGUAGAUGAUCUAAUGAUUUGAAGAUAAAAUUUUAUUAGAAUCUAUGUUGGGGAGUAAUAAUCCAACCUUAAUCGCAUUAAAAUCUCACCUUGGGCGUUGAAAAAUGAUUUUGGGUCAACAUCUUCUUGAGUAGAAUAAACCCUACCUAUUUGGGGUGAUUGGAAUGGGAAAAUCC
rnacentral:lncRNA from 1 species